UGGUGGAGUGAUUUGUCUGCUUAAUUGCGUUAACGAACGAGACCUUAACCUGCUAAAUAGUUAUGCCAACUUCUGUUGGUAGUCAACUUCUUAGAGGGACUGUCGGCAUCAAGCCGACGGAAGUUUGAGGUAAUAACA
rnacentral:rRNA from 1 species